rnacentral:lncRNA from 1 species
UUAUUUCAUUUGAAACUAGACUCAUUAAGGAGUCUAAUUAUAUAAAUUUUAUCUUAUAAUCAUCAUUGUACAAUUUACAAUGAUUUUCUAAAAAUAGAACAGGGGAUUUCAAAGUCAUUUUGACUCUAUCUUACGCCACUUCAAAUAUCUCAUUAUCUACAAUUCUUUUGCUUACAAGGUUUCUUUUAUAAGAAACUAGACUCAUUAAGCUUUAAUUACAUAAUUUAUUCAGCUUCUAAUUCAAUUUCCACAAUUUAUGGUGAUUUUCCAAAAUCA